rnacentral:tRNA from 1 species
AAAGGGAGACCUAAUUCGGGUAUAAGACGAAAAAAUAGUAGUCGAAACCAAGAAUCAAUCCCAAAAGGUCGGAACGAGGUAUGUGGCUUUCAAACUAGGUUCUGGGUUCAUAAAAGACCUGAAUCAGGAACAAGGGCUAUUAGCUCAGGUGGUUAGAGCGCACCCCUGAUAAGGGUGAGGUCCCUGGUUCGAGUCCAGGAUGGCCCACCUGCACAGGUGGCAAAAACAAGAGAAGCGAGGAAUCAGCACCUUAUCUUACUGACAUAGUAAGAGAGAAUGCUGGCUCUGAGUAAAGAGUCCAGAGGAACCUUGAAAACUGCAUAGAGCUAAGUGAAAAAGCCAAAAAAGAAGACCGCAAG